UAGGGAAUAUUGGACAAUGGGGGCAACCCUGAUCCAGCCACGCCGCGUGAGUGAAGAAGGCCCUCGGGUUGUAAAGCUCUUUUGUCCGGAAAGAAAAGCUUCGGGUUAAUACCCCGGGGUUCUGACGGUACCGGAAGAAUAAGCACCGGCUAACUUCGUGCCAGCAGCCGCGGUAAUACGAAGGGUGCAAGCGUUACUCGGAAUUACUGGGCGUAAAGCGUGCGUAGGUGGUUGUUUAAGUCUGAUGUGAAAGCCCUGGGCUCAACCUGGGAAUGGCAUUGGAAACUGGGCAGCUAGAGUGCGGUAGAGGGUAGUGGAAUGCCCGGUGUAGCAGUGAAAUGCGUAGAGAUCGGGAGGAACAUCUGUGGCGAAGGCGACUGCCUGGACCAGCACUGACACUGAGGCACGAAAGCGUGGGGAGCAAAC
rnacentral:rRNA from 1 species